CAGGCCAAUGAUGAAAAUGUGUUAUGAAGCAAGAGUUAUGACUAACAAAAUCUGUGACUCUGAGGUUUAA